rnacentral:misc_RNA from 1 species
GAUGAAGAACGUAGCGAAAUGCGAUAAGUAAUGUGAAUUGCAGAAUUCAGUGAAUCAUCGAAUCUUUGAACGCACAUUGCGCCCCUUGGUAUUCCGGGGGGCAUGCCUCUUCCAGCGUCAUUUCACCCCUCAAGCUCUGCUUGGUUUUGGGCCGCGCCGGCAACGGCGGGCCUCGAAAAUAGUGGCGACGCCAUCGUGCUCUCAGCGUAGUAAUUCUUCUCGCUGUUGGGUCCCGGUGGUCGUCCGCCAGCAACCCCCAACUUUCUUAAGUUUGACCUGGGAUGAGGUAGGGAUACCCGCUGAACUUAAGCAUACAAUAAGCGGAGGA